UUCAAUCAUAAUCUUAGAUAAAAAAGUUUAGUUCCCCAUCAAAUUACACAUCAUCAUCAAAUAAAAUUUACUCAUUAAAAACAAAACCAAGAGAAUAAGAGAAUAAAAAAGAUAGAAAAACUCCAUAAUUGUAUUCUUGAUCUCCAAAUCUCUUUGAAUCCUUCAAAUUCUUCUUAUCUUCAAUGACUCUAUGGCUUAACUCAACUAUCAAUUUGGUGUUUUGUUCUCUCCCGAAAGUCCUCCAAAAUGUUGUUUUUAUAGGGCUUUGAAGUUAGGUCAAGUUGGGUGAAGAAAGAAGUUAAUUUCAGCUGAGAUUUCCUCAUCAGACUAUGUGGGCAGCAGCUUUGCCCAAUUAAUUAACAGAAAUCGUAAUUGCU
rnacentral:lncRNA from 1 species